AAUGAACGCUGGCGGCGUGCUUAACACAUGCAAGUCGAACGAGAAAGGGAUUGCUUGCAAUCCUGAGUAGAGUGGCGCACGGGUGAGUAACACGUAGAUAAUCUACCUCCAAGCCCGGGAUAACUAUUCGAAAGGGUAGCUAAUACCGAAUAAAGUUGAUUGACACAAGUUGAUUAAUGAAAGAUUGCCUCUUCUUGAAAGCAAUUGUUUGGAGAUGAGUUUGCGGACCAUUAGUUUGUUGGUGGGGUAAAGGCCUACCAAGACUACGAUGGUUAGCUGGUCUGAGAGGAUGAUCAGCCACACUGGAACUGGUACACGGUCCAG
rnacentral:rRNA from 1 species